UAGGGAAUCUUCGGCAAUGGGGGCAACCCUGACCGAGCAACGCCGCGUGAGUGAAGAAGGUUUUCGGAUCGUAAAGCUCUGUUGUAAGAGAAGAACGUGUGUGAGAGUGGAAAGUUCACACAGUGACGGUAACUUACCAGAAAGGGACGGCUAACUACGUGCCAGCAGCCGCGGUAAUACGUAGGUCCCGAGCGUUGUCCGGAUUUAUUGGGCGUAAAGCGAGCGCAGGCGGUUUAAUAAGUCUGAAGUUAAAGGCAGUGGCUUAACCAUUGUUCGCUUUGGAAACUGUUAAACUUGAGUGCAGAAGGGGAGAGUGGAAUUCCAUGUGUAGCGGUGAAAUGCGUAGAUAUAUGGAGGAACACCGGUGGCGAAAGCGGCGCUCUUGUCUGUAACUGACGCUGAGGCUCGAAAGCGUGGGGAGCAAACAGG
rnacentral:rRNA from 1 species